CCUACGGGUGGCUGCAGUCGAGAAUCUUUCACAAUGGGGGAAACCCUGAUGGUGCGACGCCGCGUGCGGGAAUGAAGGCCUUCGGAUUGUAAACCCCUGUCAUGUGGGAGCAAAUUAAAAAGAUAGUACCACAAGAGGAAGAGACGACGAAAUCUGUGCCAGCAGCCUCGGUAAUACAGAGGGCUCAAGCGUUGUUCGGAAUCACUGGGCGUAAAGGGUUCGUAGGCUGUUUCGUAAGUCGUGUGUGAAAGGCCCGGGCUCAACCCGCGGACGGCAGAUGAUACUGCGAGACUAGAGUAAUGUAGGGGGAAGCGGAAUUCUCGGUGUAGCAGUGAAAUGCGUAGAUAUCGGGAGGAACAC
rnacentral:rRNA from 1 species